rnacentral:misc_RNA from 1 species
GAUGAAGAACGUAGCGAAAUGCGAUAAGUAAUGUGAAUUGCAGAAUUCAGUGAAUCAUCGAAUCUUUGAACGCACAUUGCGCCCGCCAGCAUUCUGGCGGGCAUGCCUGUUCGAGCGUCAUUCAACCCUCGAGCCCCCCCGGGGGCCUCGGUGUUGGGGGACGGCACACCAGCCGCCCCCGAAAUGCAGUGGCGACCCCGCCGCAGCCUCCCCUGCGUAGUAGCACACACCUCGCACCGGAGCGCGGAGGCGGUCACGCCGUAAAACGCCCAACUUUCUUAGAGUUGACCUCGGAUCAGGUAGGAAUACCCGCUGAACUUAAGCAUAUCAAUAAGCGGAGGA